rnacentral:rRNA from 1 species
GACGAACGCUGGCGGCGGGCUUAACACAUGCAAGUCGAACGGAAAGGCCCUGCUUUCGUGGGGUGCUCGAGUGGCGAAGGGGUGAGAAACAUGUGAGUAACCUGCCCUUGACGUUGGGAUAACCGCAGGAAAGUGGGGAUAAUACCGGAUAGGAGCUCCUGCUGGAGGGGGGGGGUUGGAAAGUUUCGGCGGUUGGGGAUGGACUCCCGGCUAAUCAGCUUGUUGGGGGGGGAGUGGCCUACCAAGGCUUUGACGGGUAGCCGGCGUGAGAGGGUGACCGGCCACAUUGGGACUGAGAUACGGCCCAGACUCCUACGGGGGGCAGCAGUGGGGAAUAUUGCACAAUGGGCGGAAGCCUGAUGCAGCAACGCCGCGUGCGGGAUGACGGCCUUCGUGUUGUAAACCGCUUUCGCCUGUGACGAAGCGUGAGUGACGGUAAUGGGUAAAGAAGCACCGGCUAACUACGUG